GGAGCAUGUGGUUUAAUUCGAUGCAACGCGAAGAACCUUACCACUUCUUGACAUGGAGAUUAGAUCCUUCUUAACAGAAGGGCGCAGUUCGGCUGGAUCUCGCACAGGUGCUGCAUGGCUGUCGUCAGCUCGUGUCGUGAGAUGUUGGGUUAAGUCCCGCAACGAGCGUAACCCUCAUCCUUAGUUGCCAGCGGGUUAAGCCGGGCACUUUAAGGAGACUGCCAGUGGUAAACUGGAGGAAGGUGGGGAUGAUGUCAAGUCAGCACGGCCCUUAUGGGGUGGGCUACACACGUGCUACAAUGGUGACUACAAUAGGGUGCAACGCCGA
rnacentral:rRNA from 1 species